rnacentral:snoRNA from 1 species
AAUAGUUGUGAUGAGCCUUCAGACCUGUAUUGAUUUGUGCAAAUGAUGUAAAAUUUCUUAGAACAUCUAAGUGACUGAACUUUA